CAGGAUCGAAUCAAAAGGUCUGAAAAAUGAUUGCUUUUUAUCCCAAUUGGUUCAUGUGAGCAAUAAGUAAACAUGUAGUGUCCUCAGGAUGGAUCUAACCUGAGCUCUUUGUUCUGCAGCCGUGGCUCACUGCCCGCCGGCGGGCAGUGAGUCAGUGGGUUCCCAAGGCCAAGGAGAGGCCCAGCCCUGGCCCCCCAGGAUGGCAGCCCCACCCAGGGGAGUGUGAGGCCCUUCUAGGCUGACCUCAAAGACACCGCUCUCCCCAGAAUCCAGAGGGACACCUGGAGGGAUAAACAGGUCAGCCUUGGGUCCAG
rnacentral:sRNA from 1 species